GAUUGGUGCUUGCAUCAUGAUUUACAUUUGAGUGAGUGGCGAACUGGUGAGUAACACGUGGGAAACCUGCCCAGAAGCGGGGGAUAACACCUGGAAACAGAUGCUAAUACCGCAUAACAACUUGGACCGCAUGGUCCGAGCUUGAAAGAUGGCUUCGGCUAUCACUUUUGGAUGGUCCCGCGGCGUAUUAGCUAGAUGGUGAGGUAACGGCUCACCAUGGCAAUGAUACGUAGCCGACCUGAGAGGGUAAUCGGCCACAUUGGGACUGAGACACGGCCCAAACUCCUACGGGAGGCAGCAGUAGGGAAUCUUCCACAAUGGACGAAAGUCUGAUGGAGCAACGCCGCGUGAGUGAAGAAGGGUUUCGGCUCGUAAAACUCUGUUGUUAAAGAAGAACAUAUCUGAGAGUAACUGUUCAGGUAUUGACGGUAUUUAACCAGAAAGCCACGGCUAACUACGUGCCAGCAGCCGCGGUAAUACGUAGGUGGCAAGCGUUGUCCGGAUUUAUUGGGCGUAAAGCGAGCGCAGGCGGUUUUUUAAGUCUGAUGUGAAAGCCUUCGGCUCAACCGAAGAAGUGCAUCGGAAACUGGGAAACUUGAGUGCAGAAGAGGACAGUGGAACUCCAUGUGUAGCGGUGAAAUGCGUAGAUAUAUGGAAGAACACCAGUGGCGAAGGCGGCUGUCUGGUCUGUAACUGACGCUGAGGCUCGAAAGUAUGGGUAGCAAACAGGAUUAGAUACCCUGGUAGUCCAUACCGUAAACGAUGAAUGCUAAGUGUUGGAGGGUUUCCGCCCUUCAGUGCUGCAGCUAACGCAUUAAGCAUUCCGCCUGGGGAGUACGGCCGCAAGGCUGAAACUCAAAGGAAUUGACGGGGGCCCGCACAAGCGGUGGAGCAUGUGGUUUAAUUCGAAGCUACGCGAAGAACCUUACCAGGUCUUGACAUACUAUGCAAAUCUAAGAGAUUAGACGUUCCCUUCGGGGACAUGGAUACAGGUGGUGCAUGGUUGUCGUCAGCUCGUGUCGUGAGAUGUUGGGUUAAGUCCCGCAACGAGCGCAACCCUUAUUAUCAGUUGCCAGCAUUAAGUUGGGCACUCUGGUGAGACUGCCGGUGACAAACCGGAGGAAGGUGGGGAUGACGUCAAAUCAUCAUGCCCCUUAUGACCUGGGCUACACACGUGCUACAAUGGAUGGUACAACGAGUUGCGAACUCGCGAGAGUAAGCUAAUCUCUUAAAGCCAUUCUCAGUUCGGAUUGUAGGCUGCAACUCGCCUACAUGAAGUCGGAAUCGCUAGUAAUCGCGGAUCAGCAUGCCGCGGUGAAUACGUUCCCGGGCCUUGUACACACCGCCCGUCACACCAUGAGAGUU
rnacentral:rRNA from 1 species